rnacentral:rRNA from 1 species
UACGUAGGGUCCAAGCGUUGUCCGGAUUUAUUGGGCGUAAAGAGCUCGUAGGCGGUUUCGUAAGUCGGAUGUGAAAACUCAGGGCUCAACCCGGAGACGCCAUCUGAUACUGCGAUGACUUGAGUCUGGUAGGGGAACACGGAAUUCCCGGUGUAGCGGUGAAAUGCGCAGAUAUCAGGAGGAACACCGAUGGCGAAGGCAGUGUUCUGGGCCAGUACUGACGCUGAGGAGCGAAAGCGUGGGGAGCAAACAGG